rnacentral:rRNA from 1 species
AGUCGUGCGAGAAGGAGACUUCGGUCUCUGAGUAGAGCGGCGCACGGGUGAGUAACGCGUGGAUGAUCUACCCUUGAGUUCGGGAUAACGGUGCGAAAGCGCCGCUAAUACCGUAUAACAAUCCAUUUCAUCGUGGGUUCAAAGCAGGCCUCUUCAUGAAAGCUUGCGCUUGGGGAUGAGUCCGCGUCCCAUUAGCUUGUUGGCGGGGUAACGGCCCACCAAGGCUACGAUGGGUAGCUGGUCUGAGAGGAUGAUCAGCCACACUGGAACUGAAACACGGUCCAGACUCCUACGGGAGGCAGCAGUGGGGAAUAUUGCGCAAUGGGGGAAACCCUGACGCAGCGACGUCGUGUGAGGGAAGAAGGCCUUCGGGUCGUAAACCUCUGUCAGAAGGGAAGAACAUCCGGGAGUCGAACAGCCUCCCGGCCUGACGGUACCUUCAGAGGAAGCGCCGGCUAACUCCGUGCCAGCAGCCGCGGUAAUACGGAGGGCGCAAGCGUUAAUCGGAAUCACUGGGCGUAAAGCGUGCGUAGGCUGUUUGAUAAGUCAGACGUGAAAUCCCUCGGCUCAACCGGGGAACUGCGUUUGAUACUGUUGAACUAGAGUCCUGGAGAGGGUGGCGGAAUUCCUGGUGUAGGAGUGAAAUCCGUAGAUAUCAGGAGGAACACCGGUGGCGAAGGCGGCCACCUGGACAGGUACUGACGCUGAGGUACGAAAGCGUGGGGGGCAAACAGGAUUAGAUACCCUGGUAGUCCACGCGGUAAACGAUGGAUGCUAGGUGUCGGGGAGCGAUCUUCGGCGCCGCAGCUAACGCAUUAAGCGCUCCG